rnacentral:misc_RNA from 1 species
GACAAAAACCGACCAUCUGGAGAACACAACCUUGUGGAAUGGGCGAAACCUUACCUCACUAGCAAACGAAGAGUUCUUCAAAUGUUAGAUGCACGAAUCGAAGGCCAAUAUUCGACUGGAGGAGCACUGAAAGCAGCUAAACUUGCCAUUCAAUGUAUAUCGACAGAACCCAAGUUAAGACCGAAUAUGAACACGGUGGUGAAAGCAUUGGAGCAACUUCAG